UGGGGAAUAUUGGACAAUGGGCGAAAGCCUGAUCCAGCCAUGCCGCGUGUGUGAAGAAGGUCUUCGGAUUGUAAAGCACUCUAAGUUGGGAGGAAGGGCAGUAAGCGAAUACCUUGCUGUUUUGACGUUACCGACAGAAUAAGCACCGGCUAACUCUGUGCCAGCAGCCGCGGUAAUACAGAGGGUGCAAGCGUUAAUCGGAAUUACUGGGCGUAAAGCGCGCGUAGGUGGUUCGUUAAGUUGAAUGUGAAAGCCCCGGGCUCAACCUGGGAACUGCAUCCAAAACAGGCGAGCUAGAGUAGGGCAGAGAGUGGUGGAAUUUCCUGUGUAGCGGUGAAAUGCGUAUAUAUAGGAAGGAACACCAGUGGCGAAGGCGACCACCUGGGCUCAUACUGACACUGAGGUGCGAAAGCGUGGGGAGCAAACAGG
rnacentral:rRNA from 1 species